rnacentral:rRNA from 1 species
UUCCGGUUGAUCCUGCCRGACCCGACUGCUAUCAGAGUGAGAUUAAGCCAUGCGAGUCAACGUAGCAAUACGUGGCACACGGCUCAGUAACACGUAGUCAACAUAACCAAAGGACGUGGAUAAACUCGGGAAACUGAGGCUAAACCGCGAUAGACCAAUAUACCUGGAAUGGUUCUUGAUUAAAAUCUAUAUGGCCUUUGGAUUGGACUGCGACUGAUCAGGCUGUUGGUGAGGUAAUGGCCCACCAAACCUGUAACCGGUACGGGCUCUGAGAGGAGGAGCCCGGAGAUGGGUACUGAGACAAGGACCCAGGCCCUAUGGGGCGCAGCAGGCGCGAAACCUCUGCAAUAGGCGAAAGCCUGACAGGGUUACUCUGAGUGACUUUCGCUAAGAAAGUCUUUUGACACCUCUAAAAAUGGUGUAGAAUAAGGGGUGGGCAAGUCUGGUGU